rnacentral:rRNA from 1 species
GAUCAUGGCUCAGGAUGAACGCUAGCUACAGGCUUAACACAUGCAAGUCGAGGGGAAACGACAUCGAAAGCUUGCUUCCGAUAGGCGUCGACCGGCGCACGGGUGAGUAACGCGUAUCCAACCUGGCCCAUACCACGGGAUAGCCCGUCGAAAGGCGGAUUAAUACCGUAUGCUGUCAUUAAGAUGCAUAUAUUGAUGACGAAAGGACUGGCGGUAUGGGAUGGGGAUGCGUCUGAUUAGCUUGUUGGCGGGGUAACGGCCCACCAAGGCGACGAUCAGUAGGGGUUCUGAGAGGAAGGUCCCCCACAUUGGAACUGAGACACGGUCCAAACUCCUACGGGAGGCAGCAGUGAGGAAUAUUGGUCAAUGGGCGCAAGCCUGAACCAGCCAAGUAGCGUGAGGGAUGACUGCCCUAUGGGUUGUAAACCUCUUUUAUAAGGGAAUAAAAUACGGGACGUGUCCUGUUUUGCAUGUACCUUAUGAAUAAGGACCGGCUAAUUCCGUG